rnacentral:lncRNA from 1 species
GUUCAUGUAAUCCAAAGGUAGAAAUCAUGCGCAACAAAUCCAACGCUCAGUAAUCAAAUAUGAAAAUGGAACGCUUCAAAUUCUACCACGUCGCCUAGUCGCCGCUUGUGACCGUUAGGCGACAUAACGAUGCUUUUGUUGGUGGAGUUGACGGAAGUAAACCUCUCAUAAUUGGGUCAUUGACCCUUUGACGCGCCGUAAUAAACGGUCAAGUAAAGCGGUAAUUUAACUCUUCUAUUUACCAUCACAGUAAAACCUUCUGUUUCACUCCUACAAAUGAUAAGAGGAAGAAAAUUUACAAAAAUUAGCGUACCCAUAUCCCAAG